AUGAUCAAGCCCGCAUAUGACCUCCUGGUGCACGCCGUGGAAGAGCGUGUCAGGAGGCUAGGGCUGCCAAAAGUGGAGCGCGACCAGUACCCCGUCUGCUUCCGCGGCGCAACUCGAGCCGCCUUCGAGCACCUGCCGACGGUGACGCUGCACUUGGACAAUGACCUAGUGCUCCGGCCACAGCAGCUCUUCGUCCUCGUCCACCAAGACGCCUGCCUUACCGUGAUGCCGAGCGAGCACAUCACCAUCAUCGGCGCGAUGCAGCAGGUGAACACGCGCUUCGUCUACGACGUCGCAGCGGGCAGGAUCCACUUUGCUCAUGAGGACUGCCAUGGCGACAUGGGAGGCCAGAAUUGA
rnacentral:rRNA from 1 species